GCGAUCGUGGCGGAAUUGGCAUACGCGCACGUUUGAGGGGCGUGUCCGAUGAGGGUACGGGUUCAAGUCCCGUCGAUCGCACCA
rnacentral:tRNA from 2 species